CAUCACAUCCUGGGGCUGAAGUAGGUCCCAAGGGUAUGGCUGUUCGCCAUUUAAAGUGGUACGCGAGCUGGGUUUAGAACGUCGUGAGACAGUUCGGUCCCUAUCUGCCGUGGGCGCUGGAGAAUUGAGGGGGGCUGCUCCUAGUACGAGAGGACCGGAGUGGACGCAUCACUGGUGUUCGGGUUGUCAUGCCAAUGGCACUGCCCGGUAGCUAAAUGCGGAAGAGAUAAGUGCUGAAAGCAUCUAAGCACGAAACUUGCCCCGAGAUGAGUUCUCCCUGAGACUUUAAGUCUCCUGAAGGAACGUU
rnacentral:rRNA from 1 species